AUAGUAGAAGCCUGAAAGGGUGACGAGGUAGCAAUACCAGUGUACACAGGUGCUGCAUGGCUGUCGUCAGCUCGUGUCGUGAGAUGUUGGGUUAAGUCCCGCAACGAGCGCAACCCUUGCAUUUUGUUGCCACCUUCGCGCGAGCGAAGAGCACUCGAAAUGGACUGCCUCGCUUAAACGAGGAGGAAGGUGGGGAUGACGUCAAGUCAGUAUGGCCCUUACGGCUAGGGCUGCACACGUACUACAAUGCCUAGUACAAAGGGAAGCAAACCAGUAAUGGGGAGCGAAUCCUUAAAAGUAGGCCCAGUUCAGAUUGUCGUCUGCAACUCGACGGCAUGAAGCUGGAAUCGCUAGUAAUGGCGCAUCAGCUACGGCGCCGUGAAUACGUUCCCAGGCCUUGUACACACCGCCCGUCACAUCAUGAAAGCCGUCUGCACCCAAAGUCGUUAGACUAACCGCAAGGAGGUCUGCGCCUAAGGUAUGGGUGGUAAUUGGGAUGAAG
rnacentral:rRNA from 1 species